AUGCAAGUCGAGCGAUGAAGCUUCCUUCGGGAAGUGGAUUAGCGGCGGACGGGUGAGUAACACGUGGGUAACCUGCCUCAAAGUGGGGGAUAGCCUUCCGAAAGGAAGAUUAAUACCGCAUAAUAUAGGAGAAUCGCAUGAUUUUCUUAUCAAAGAUUUAUUGCUUUGAGAUGGACCCGCGGCGCAUUAGCUAGUUGGUAAGGUAACGGCUUACCAAGGCAACGA
rnacentral:rRNA from 1 species